rnacentral:rRNA from 1 species
UAGGGAAUCUUCGGCAAUGGACGAAAGUCUGACCGAGCAACGCCGCGUGAGUGAAGAAGGUUUUCGGAUCGUAAAACUCUGUUGUUAGAGAAGAACAAGGACGUUAGUAACUGAACGUCCCCUGACGGUAUCUAACCAGAAAGCCACGGCUAACUACGUGCCAGCAGCCGCGGUAAUACGUAGGUGGCAAGCGUUGUCCGGAUUUAUUGGGCGUAAAGCGAGCGCAGGCGGUUUCUUAAGUCUGAUGUGAAAGCCCCCGGCUCAACCGGGGAGGGUCAUUGGAAACUGAGAGACUUGAGUGCAGAAGAGGAGAGUGGAAUUCCAUGUGUAGCGGGGAAAUGCGUAGAUAUAUGGAGGAAAACCAGUGGCGAAGGCGGCUCUCUGGUCUGUAACUGACGCUGAGGCUCGAAAGCGUGGGGAGCAAACAGG